rnacentral:rRNA from 1 species
AAAGUCUGACGGAGCAACGCCGCGUGAGUGAUGAAGGCUUUCGGGUCGUAAAACUCUGUUGUUAGGGAAGAACAAGUGCUAGUUGAAUAAGCUGGCACCUUGACGGUACCUAACCAGAAAGCCACGGCUAACUACGUGCCAGCAGCCGCGGUAAUACGUAGGUGGCAAGCGUUAUCCGGAAUUAUUGGGCGUAAAGCGCGCGCAGGUGGUUUCUUAAGUCUGAUGUGAAAGCCCACGGCUCAACCGUGGAGGGUCAUUGGAAACUGGGAGACUUGAGUGCAGAAGAGGAAAGUGGAAUUCCAUGUGUAGCGGUGAAAUGCGUAGAGAUAUGGAGGAACACCAGUGGCGAAGGCGACUUUCUGGUCUGUAACUGACACUGAGGCGCGAAAGCGUGGGG